rnacentral:RNase_P_RNA from 1 species
GUGGGUGAGCGGGCAAUCGCUUCCGAAAGGGAGAGGAAAGUCCGAACUCCGCAGGGCGGUGUGCCCCGUAAUCCGGGGGCCCGAAAGGGACGGAAAGUGCCACAGAAAAAAUACCGCCGGGGCUACGCCCCGGUAAGGGUGAAAAGGUGCGGUAAGAGCGCACCAGCGAUCCGGUGACGGGUCGGCUUGGCAAACCCCGCACGGAGCAAGGCCAAAUAGGGAAACGAAGCGCGCUUCGGUGCGCAGGAGGAUGGCCCGUCCGAGUUUCCGGGUAGGCCGCUCGAGUUCCGGUGAAAGCCGGAAUCCAGAUGAAUGAUUGCCGCCCCGCCCCUGGCGGGGUACAGAAUUCGGCUUACAGCUUGCCCGCUCGC